rnacentral:misc_RNA from 1 species
GUAGGUGAACCUGCGGAAGGAUCAUUAUCGAGUUUUUAAAAUCGAGGGCUUGAUGCUGGCGUGGAAACACGCACUGUGCUCGGCCUUCGUGCUUAAUCCACUCAACACCUGUGCACCUUAUCGAAGUUAGUAGUCUUUCCUCCUUAGUUGGAGCCGCCGGGGUUGACUUUGUUAGUAGUGUUUCGACGCGAAACUAUGGUCGGCCUUGGCUGGGAUCGGCGAGCACUUUGACUUCAUCAUACACACUUUAAUUGUCUUGUAGAAUGUAAUGCUCCUUGUGGGCGAAAUGAAAUACAACUUUCAACAACGGAUCUCUUGGCUCUC